UACGUAGGGCGCAAGCGUUAUCCGGAAUUAUUGGGCGUAAAGAGCGUGUAGGCGGCCUGGAAGGUCAGCUGUGAAAACUCGAGGCUCAACCUCGAGACGUCGGUUGAAACCACCUGGCUAGAGUCCGGAAGAGGAGUGUGGAAUUCCCGGUGUAGCGGUGGAAUGCGCAGAUAUCAGGAGGAACACCGGUGGCGAAGGCGGGUCUCUGGGCAACAACUGACGCUGAGGAGCGAAAGCGUGGGGAGCGAACAGG
rnacentral:rRNA from 1 species